rnacentral:rRNA from 1 species
GUCUAAGGCCAUAUCACCCUGAAUUCCAAUCUCAUCUGGUCUCAGAAGCUAAGGCAGGUUGGGCCUGGUUAGUACUUGGAUGGAAGAAUAAGGGACUAUCAAGUGUUGGUCC